UCACUUGUGCGAGACUUUGCGAUUUGAAAGUUUUCCAGUGCUGCCAGCUGUGAUCUUCACCUGUGCUUUACUACACCCACCUUAAAUCAUCUACACUACUGUUACAUCUCAAUCAGAAAACAACACACUGACUAGAUAAACAUAUUCAGACACACAAGACAUUUAUUUUCAAAGCUACACAUAAUAUUCACUAACACACACACAUUAACUCACACACUAUCUUCCCACAAACAGUUUAAUUAAUUUGGAACAUAUUUAAAUGCAUUUCAGAGUUUGUAUUUUCUCUGUUGCUUUGGUCUAGAUAACCUGUUUUUCCUCCCCCAGUUUUCUUCUGUUCUCAUUGUCUUAACAGGAUGCCACGCAAGGGACGACGCUCCGAGGCCGCCAAGAAGAGAUGGAGGACCCUGGACCUGGAGGACCUGCAGGGCAGCCAGCCGGACGUCGCCAAGCCCAGGACAUCACCACCCACCGCGCAGGCUUGGACCCCCACCCAGUCUCCGGAGAAGAAGGUGGAGGGAACUCCAACUGAGAGGACCAGGCCAGCCCGUCACCAGCCCAGGAGAGCCGCCCCCACGUUGGAGGUUGACGCCCCCGCCAAGUCCUCUCCCGUGCCUCUCGAGGACCAUGUCAGGGAUGACAGCUGCCAGGCUUCUUCGUUGGAACCCUGCGCCAGCGGUCCGCCUGUCCAGACUGUGAGGGCCACACAUUGCCAGGCUGACUACAGAUACGGUACAUUUUCCCGUAAUCACCAGUGCACCUGUAUGGCUCUGACAUUUUUAGCGUACCACAGUGAGGGGUUGCAGUGUGACACAGUGUUACUUGACAGAGUACUUGAGCAAGGAGAUGCACUUUAUGUUGGCAUUAAACAGCAGCUCAUGUUGGACGGUAGAUUUGUUGAUAAUCACUUGACAGUUGAAGAGAUGCCCCAACAAGUACUGACAGACGGGAACAUCUACACUGUACACACAACGGGUGUAAGAGUUGGUCAUGUUUUGUGUCAGAAUGAUAACCCUCAAAGAUCACGGCGAAUGGGAUUGCCUCUUGCUUCACAACUAGAGUGUCUGUCUGAAAAUGUCACCUAUGCUUUUCUUUUGGUGAAUCCAGAGUGCAUUGCAGUUUUCCGGGACAGAGACAGUAGGUUUGGAGUUUUUGAUUCUCACUCCAGAAACUCAGCAGGCCUGCCCUAUCCUAACGGAACUGCAGUGGUCAUGACUUUUAGCAACCUAACGCUCUUGGUUGAACAUCUGUACAAACUCUUUGAGAACCGUGGCCCCUAUGCCACGUAUGAGUUUGUACCAGUAUCGUUUGUCAGCGACGACAUUGGUGAUGCCCCUCCUCCGGCCUUGAGCAAUCUGACUAUUUCACCUGGAUCUACACAAGCAAGCCCAGGUGUUGAGAAACCAGAGAGCACUUCUGAUGAAGAGGAAAUGCCAGCUUGGCUUGCUGAAGUUGUAAAGAAGUCCGAUGUCAACCAACAGGACGAGAUGAAAAAGAUCAUGCAGGCCUAUUCAAAACAGUUAGUGCUCAAGAGUCAGUAGCCCAUACAUGUAGUCUACCCCUUAAAAAGUCAUCACGCAGUGUCAUUUUUAUCCAAACUGAUGAAGACUGUGUGAAAAUGAGCCUUCCCAUGAGAAAACUGAUGAACAUGGCCCCAGAUGAAGAGAAUGUUUGGAUGACAGGAUUGCCUGAAAAAUAUCUCGUUUGGAAUGCGUAGCGGAGCGACCCUCAAUCGAUGAAAAUGAAGAACAAGACCCUGUCCCAGAAUACCAAGUUGAUGUCAACAGUGGAGCCAUGCCAGCAAUAGAAAUACCCAAAUUGAGUCCUGAUUUUAUUAGACAAAUGUGCCGUAGUUUAAAUGAGACUCAAGCGUCCAUCAAAAUCCAGACCCGUUCUUUUAUUUUUUGACUGAAGGGGCGGGCUGUGACAAGUCUCAUGUUAUCAAAUGUGUUUACCAGGAAGCAACCAAGCUCUUGCGCCAGCUUCCCUGAAUGUUUUUGCGACAAACAAAGAGGUGGACGCUCACAAUGCAGCAGUUGUGGCUUCUUUAUCAACAGUAAUAGUUGAUGUUCAGGCAGAGGACUACAAGAGGGAUACAAAAACAGGAAACAUGACAAAUCUAGGUAGCUGCGUCAAAGCCAAGAAACGAGAUUUGCCUGACAAUCUACCGGUCGGAUUGGGAAUCAGAGUCAUGAUCAUAAGAAACCUGAACGUAGAGGAUGGUCUUGUCAAUGGAACCUUUGGCACUAUUGCAGAUAUCAUCACCAGGACUAAAGAUGGAAACAGAACCGUGAAGUUAAUAGGACUGAAACUGGAUAGUCCCACAGCUGGCCACACCAAAAAAAAUCAAAGGGAAACCAGACAACUUUGUGUACAUCGAGAGAUUUGAGGAACAAACCAGCAUAAAAGGAGUUGUUCGACAUCAGUUUCCAAUCAAGUCUCCAAUCAAUACUCCAGUCUCAUGGAGCAGUUUUUUCCACACUAUGGACAUUCUCCACUCCGCUCUGUUUGCUUGGCCAUUAUGUUAAUUUGCUUUGAGUGGAAAUAACCGUUUUUUGCCCAGUUUUAGUAAGUUUUUGCAGGCUUGAGAGCAUGCAACGCACGGUAUGACUCAUGAGGGUUCCAAGAAGAGAUGGAGGAGGCUGGACCUGGUCGAUUUGCAGAGCGGCCCAUCAUACGUCACCAAGCGCAGGACACCCCAACCCACCUGGCAGCCUUGAUCCUCCAAGCAGUCUACAGAGAACAAGAUAUGGCUUUCAUUUUGCUUUUAACUGAGUUUAGGAUAAGUUAUUUUGUGUGCUUUUCUCAUUGAAGUAAUUUGUCUCUUUAUGUCAAGGUUUCUGGACUCCGUGCCCCAUGACCAGCUGGAGCGUCAACGAGGCGGGAGCAAACAUCAAGCAUUUGCGGCACACAGUCUGCAACCUCUGGACUUAUGUGGCUAUUUUGAACUUUCCUCCACUUCUCACCAUGAAGGCUCUGAUG